UGUUGCGUAGCUCAGUUGGAAGAGCAUUGGGCUAGUAUUCCAAAGGUCGUAGGUUCGAAUCCCACCGUGGCCG
rnacentral:tRNA from 1 species